AUUAGAAAUUAUUUCUAAUUAGGGUUCUUGUUCUUGAGACUUGAGAGUCCCGACUUCCUUCCUCCUAUGUGCGACUGUGGCGACGCCCGACUGCUGUGAGCCUGUGACGCCUUCGUCCUCCGCUCGUCAUUCAUCCUUCAUCCUCAGAUAUGGGAAAGAGCGGAAGAGAAACUUGCAUUGUUGAAAGAGAUACUAGCAUUGUUGAUGCAUAGUUUGAACAAGUGGUUCAACCAUUCCUCACGGUCCUAAAGCUAGAUCACCUAUUUGGGAAUAUUUUGAGCUAAUUGAAGAAAAUGAAGAAGCCCGCAAAAUAAAGUGCCUUCAUUGUGGUCGAGUUUAUAAUUGUCAUCCGAAGUAUUAUGGCACUUUUGGCUUAGUAAAGCAUAUUAAGAAGUGUCUCAUGUCUCAUCCAGUGAUUCGUAUUUAAGACUUUAAAGUAUCCUUUUCUAAACUUACUUUGUGGUUUGCGGGUUGUGACUAGUUUGCCACUGUUUUAUUGUUUGGUGAUGGUAUUUCUAGACUAGUUUUGGACUUUGAUAGCGGCGAGUUUCAGCUAAACUGUAUUUGCUUAUCUUCUUGUUUGAAGUAUUUAUCAGUUUUGGUUAUAUGAUGAAUUUGGUUUCUUUGA